GUGCUCCCUUUGGCAGCACAUAUACUAAAAUGGGAAUGAUACAGAGAAGAUUAGCAUAAGGCCCCUGUGCAAGGAUGACCAGCAGAAAAAAUAUAAGGUGCUUGACAAA
ensembl:snRNA U6 U6 spliceosomal RNA